rnacentral:rRNA from 1 species
UACAGAGGUCCCGAGCGUUGUUCGGAUUCACUGGGCGUAAAGGGUGCGUAGGUGGUGAGGUAAGUCGGAUGUGAAAGCUCGGAGCUCAACUCCGAAAUGGCAUUGGAAACUACCUUGCUCGAGGGUUGGAGGGGGGACUGGAAUGCUUGGUGUAGCAGUGAAAUGCGUAGAUAUCAAGAGGAACACCAGUGGCGAAGGCGAGUCCCUGGACAACACCUGACACUGAGGCACGAAAGCUAGGGGAGCAAACAGG